rnacentral:rRNA from 1 species
UUCCGGUUGAUCCUGCCGGACCCGACUGCUAUCAGAGUGGGACUAAGCCAUGCGAGUCAACAUAGCAAUAUGUGGCAUACGGCUCAGUAACACGUAGUCAACAUGCCCAGGGGACGUGGAUAACCUCGGGAAACUGAGGAUAAACCGCGAUAAGUCACUGCUUCUGGAAUGGGCAAUGACUUAAAUCUAUAUGGCCCCUGGAUUGGACUGCGGCCGAUCAGGCUGUUGGUGAGGUAAUGGCCCACCAAACCUGUAACCGGUACGGGCUCUGAGAGGAGGAGCCCGGAGAUGGGCACUGAGACAAGGGCCCAGGCCCUAUGGGGCGCAGCAGGCGCGAAACCUCUGCAAUAGGCGAAAGCCUGACAGGGUUACUCUGAGUGAUUUCCGUUAAGGAGAUCUUUUGGCACCUCUAAAAAUGGUGCAGAAUAAGGGGUGGGCAAGUCUGGUGUCAGCCGCCGCGGUAAUACCAGCACCCCGAGUGGUCGGGACGUUUAUUGGGCCUAAAGCAUCCGUAGCCGGUUCUGCAAGUCUUCCGUUAAAUCCACCUGCUUAACAGAUGGGCUGCGGAAGAUACUAUAGAGCUAGGAGGCGGGAGAGGCAAGCGGUACCCGAUGGGUAGGGGUAAAAUCCGUUGAUCCAUUGAAGACCACCAGUGGCGAAGGCGGUCUGCCAGAACGCGCUCGACGGUGAGGGAUGAAAGCUGGGGGAGCGAACCGGAUUAGAUACCCGGGUAGUCCCAG